AGAUGCCAACAUGGCAGCGGUUGGGGUUGGUGGAUCUACCGCUGCGGCCGGGGCUGGGGCUGUGUCCUCGGGCGCGUUGGAACCUGGGUCCACUACAGCGGCUCACCGGCGCCUCAAGUAUAUAUCCUUAGCUGUGCUGGUGGUCCAGAAUGCCUCCCUCAUCCUCAGCAUCCGCUACGCUCGCACACUGCCUGGGGACCGCUUCUUUGCCACCACUGCUGUGGUCAUGGCUGAAGUGCUCAAAGGUCUCACCUGUCUCCUGCUGCUCUUCGCACAAAAGAGGGGUAUGAGUCACCAAUGGGGUUGGUUGGUGGGACUCCCUAAGUUAAGGGUGUAAGUACCCCUGGGAGGUUUGCUGGGAGAGUAGACUGGUGUGUCUGAGGAUGCUUGAGGAGUAGGUAGGAGCUUUUAAGCUUCCUGACCACUGCAGCUAUGUGAAGUUGCAUCUCCACGUGGAUAUUCCUUAUACCUGAGAACUACACCAGUGAGAUUGACUGCCCACAGGCAACAGAAGACCCACGGUGAUUGAAAGGUAGAGGCAUGAAGAUCAGGAGCUCAAGAUAACAUAAGUUCAAGGUAAUGUGAAGCACCUGGUCCUCUUCCUCCAUGAGGCUGUCCUGGUCCAAUAUGUGGACACACUCAAGCUUGCGGUGCCCUCUCUCAUCUAUACCUUGCAGAAUAACCUCCAGUAUGUUGCCAUCAGCAACCUGCCAGCUGCCACUUUCCAGGUGACAUAUCAGCUGAAGAUCCUGACUACAGCGCUCUUCUCUGUGCUCAUGUUGAAUCGCAGCCUCUCACGCCUGCAGUGGGCCUCUCUGCUGCUGCUCUUCACUGGUGUCGCCAUUGUCCAGGCACAGCAAGCUGGUGGGAGUGGCCCACGGCCACUGGAUCAGAACCCGGGGGCGGGCUUAGCGGCAGUUGUGGCCUCCUGUCUCUCCUCAGGCUUCGCUGGGGUCUACUUUGAGAAGAUCCUCAAAGGCAGCUCAGGUUCUGUGUGGCUUCGUAACCUACAGCUCGGCCUCUUUGGCACAGCGCUGGGCCUGGUGGGGCUCUGGUGGGCUGAGGGCACCGCCGUGGCCAGUCAAGGCUUCUUCUUUGGGUACACACCUGCUGUCUGGGGUGUAGUACUAAACCAAGCCUUUGGUGGGCUUCUGGUGGCUGUUGUUGUCAAGUAUGCUGACAACAUCCUCAAGGGCUUUGCCACCUCCCUGUCUAUUGUGCUGUCCACUGUUGCCUCCAUUCGCCUCUUUGGCUUCCACCUGGACCCAUUAUUUGCCCUGGGCGCUGGGCUCGUCAUUGGUGCUGUCUACCUCUACAGCCUUCCCCGAGGUGCAGUCAAAGCCAUAGCCUCGGCCUCGGCCUCUGGGCCCUGCAUUCACCAGCAGCCUCCUGGGCAGCCACCACCACCGCAGCUGUCUUCUCGAGGAGACCUCACCACGGAGCCCUUUCUGCCAAAGUCAGUGCUGGUCAAGUGAGAGCUGGUGGUGGUUGGGGGAACAGGGCAGGGGGUUGGGUUGGAGGGGGUUGGGCUUCUGCAGGUCCAAAAAGUUGUUGCCAGGGCCUGGCUUUUGUGGGUUGGAGGUUUAUUUUCUCCCAUAAUUCUAGAGGGAUAUGGAACUAGGGCUGAAUGUCACAUGAACGCUUCCUGAUAGAUGGACUCUCCUCUCCUGGAGGAGCUUUUUAGAGCUGCUUCCUCUGCCUUGGGCUAACCUCUUUGGGAACAGGGUUGGGGUACUGCUAUUCCAGGCCUUUCCCCCAUGACCCUGUGCUGGAGAUGUCCUGUCUCGCAUGCCUGGGACAGUCCCUCCCAGCCAUCCUGCAGACUGGAUAAAAGCCCUGCAGCUCUCCAAUAACGACUAAUGACUCCUCGUGGGGUUCAUUUCCUAUUGUAUGAGGUCUUCUCUCCUGCACCAUCACCCUGGAUCAUGACAACAGCGUGGUCUCUGCUGUGGCUUUGGGGCAGUUUCCCCGGUACAGAGACCCUUGAAGAGCAAUCAGCCUGUUGUAAGUGCCCGGAACGAGGAGAGAGGCACAAGCUGAGGAUUUCGCAUCAGCUCAUCUUGGGGAGGGUGCAAUAAGUGCCAUUUGCUUUCCAAUAGUUUGGGAUGGAGAUUUGUUUGUGCUAUCAUUAGAUCAAUGAUCCAGCGUGUUGGGAAAAUGGGGAGGGGAGGUCCUUGAAGUGGCUGAAUCUCAUGUAAUUGACGAGACAGAGGCGAAGGAUUCUCUUCAGAAACAUCCAGACAAAAACUAAAGCUGCCGAUCCGCCUGCAGCUCCAUUGGCGUUUAAAACAUCCUUUCAGGAUGGGUGUCAGAAUUGAUGAAACAUGGAACCUGCGCCCCUGCACUCCCCAAAGCUUAUUAACUCCUUAACUGUAUCCCAGAUGUGUGUGUGUGUGUGUGUUCGCGCGCGCGUGGGGAUGUGUGUGGAUGUGUGCACGCACACUUAAGUGCAUGCAUGGAAGGUGCCUGGGCUGUCUUUGCUAUAUGUAAAUAGGGCCACUGGAUCUUUAUUUUUGAUUAAUUUGUUCUGAUUUUUUUUUUGGUUUGUUUUUUAAGGAACUGUAAUGAACAAAUGUCAGGAUACCCAAUGCCAAAUAAAGAUGAUGUAUUUAUUUA